CGCCCCCCCGCACCGCGCCGCCGCCGGACGGGGCGUCCGCGCCCCUUUAUAGAGCCGCGAGGGCGCGGGGCGCCGCCGGCCGCCGCCUGAGCCCGGUAAAGGUGCGCCCCGCGCGGAGCCCCGGGACGCGGUUCAGCGGCGUUAGCGAAAGCAUCUGCUCGGCCCGGCCCCCGCCCCCCCCGCCGCUCCCGGCCGCUUUCCGCCGGGGCUCCGCACUCCGCCCCCGGAGCAGCGGGUGCCCGGGGCGCGUCUCGCACCCCCGGAGCGGUGCCCCCGUCGGGAUGCGGGGCUGAUUGCCGCCCCACCGCCCGCCCGGCACCGCGCGGCGCCUCUCCUCCGUUUGGUUCAGUUCGUUUCGUUUUUCCCGUUGCGUUCGGGAGCUGCUCGGCGCAGGAAAAGGGGCAAAUCUCAAAAAGAAGGAAUAAUAAUAAUAAUGAUGAUGAUUUUAAAACGAGGAUUAUUUUAAAUCUAGUGCGGAAAUAAAACGGCUUUUCAGGGAGUCUGAAUUUGCCUUUCGGUGGUACCGCUCUCACCCAGUUCGGUGCCCCCGCUGUCCCCACGGCCGCCCCUCGUUCCCCGCACGGACACCCCCGGGCGCAGCGCUGGGAGCAGUCCCGUCGGCUCUCUCCUUCCUCCCGCUCUGUCCUUUCCCCCCUCCCAAGCUGUGAGCACGGCCGGGCUGCAGCAGUUUGCUUUCACCCUUCCCGCGACCGCCGCGUGUUGCGGGGCCUCCGCCGGUACCGCGGAGCGCUGCGGGGCUGGGAGGGCCCUUCACCUCGAGGGCGAUUUCUAAGGGUGGACUGUCCGCUGCCCUCAACCGGGCCCGGGGAUGAGGGGGUCCGUUGGGCUCCCCUGGGCCCCGCACGGCCCGCUGCGCCUCUCCCGCAACUUUCCCCGCAGUGAGAGGUCGCGGGGUCGGGGUGCCGCCUGAACAAAGGUCUGCGGGGAGACGACCCGAGCGAACAACGCGGUGCAGUUGCGCUCCCCACAGCCCUGCGCUCCCCACGGCCGGACGGGACGCAUCGCCGCGUCGGUGCCAACGAGCGUCGAAAUGACCUCGGAGUUGCGGAGCGGUGCCCCGGAUCGCUGUGCCGCCCGCGGUGCGAUGCCGGGGUACGCACGGCCCCGCCCUAUCCCCUUCACCCCCCCCCCCAACCCGGACGAACCCCCCCGGGGUUCUCCGCACGUCGGUAAAUGUCGUCGCUUACAUCCAAAAGCUCCCGAGUUGUUUAUGGGAAAAUACAGUUAAUAAAUAAUUACAGCUCCGA